rnacentral:miRNA from 1 species
AAUUUAGUAUGUGUGAUAUU